AUACGUAGGGGGCGAGCGUUGUCCGGAAUGAUUGGGCGUAAAGGGCGCGUAGGCGGCCCGGUAAGUCUGGAGUGAAAGGCCUGUUUUUAAGAUGGGAAUUGCUUUGGAUACUGUCGGGCUUGAGUGCAGGAGAGGUAGGUGGAAUUCCCAGUGUAGCGGUGAAAUGCGUAGAUAUUGGGAAGAACACCGGUGGCGAAGGCGGCCAACUGGACCACAACUGACGCUGAGGCGCGAAAGCGUGGGGAGCAAACAGGAUUAGAUACCCUGGUAGUCCACGCUGUAAACUAUGUGUGCUUGACGUCGGAGGGCAUAGCCCCUCGGUGUCGGAGUUAACACGGUAAGCACACCGCCUGGGGAGUACGGUCGCAAGAUUAAAACUCAAAGGAAUUGACGG
rnacentral:rRNA from 1 species